GAGGGUUCGGGUCAGUUGUGCCUUUUCUUUGAUAUGCUUUUUCCUUCUUCCAAGCCUCAAAUUGUCGAACCCUUCUUGGGUGAACCAUGGUUCCAAAAGCAUUUACUAGUUUCAACAUCUGAACUGAAUUUCUCCGCGACUCUCUAGCCACAAGCACCGAAAUGCAUCCAGAAUUGCUCUAUUUGGCCGAUAAUGAAAGCUUGGUUAUCUCUACUGAAUUGGCCAUUGAUGUUGAAAGAGUCGUCCGGGUAGUAAAGCCAAAUAAUUUUGUGGAGCUUUGAAGAAAUGAGAGUAAUCACAGUUAGCAGCUACGCG
rnacentral:lncRNA from 1 species